UGCUAUCUGCGAAUGCAUAAGAUUCGAACCUGCAGCAGGUUCGAGUCAAGCGAAGCGAGACAACGGAGCCGCUUGCGGCGACGACCCGAAGGGUGAGGCGAAGCCGAGUCAUCCUGCACGACCCACCA
rnacentral:sRNA from 1 species